UACGGGGGGGGGUAAGCGUUGUUCGGAAUUACUGGGCGUAAAGGGCUCGUAGGCGGCCAACUAAGUCAGACGUGAAAUCCCUCAGCUUAACUGGGGAACUGCGUCUGAUACUGGAUGGCUUGGAUUUGGGGAGAGGGAUGCGGAAUUCCAGGUGUAGCGGUGAAAUGCGUAGAUAUCUGGAGGAACACCGGUGGCGAAGGCGACUCUUUGGUCUGUAACUGACGCUGAGGCGCGAAAGCGUGGGGAGCAAACAGG
rnacentral:rRNA from 1 species